rnacentral:rRNA from 1 species
AGCGAACGCUGGCGGCAGGCCUAACACAUGCAAGUCGAACGAACCUUUCGGGGUUAGUGGCGGACGGGGGAGGAACACGUGGGAACGUGCCUUUAGGCUCGGAAUAACUCAGUGAAACGUGGGCUAAUACCGAAUGGGCUCUUCUGGGGAAAGAUUUAUCGUCUUUAGAGCGGCCCGCGUCUGGUUUGCUAAGUGGGUCGGGUAAUGGCUCACCAAGGCGACGAUACGGAGCUGGUCUGAGAGGAUGAUCAGCCACAUUGGAACUGAGACACGGUCCAGACUCCGACGGGAGGCAGCAGUGGGGAAUAUUGGACAAUGGGCGCAAGCCUGAUCCAGCCAUACCGCGUGAGUGAUGAAGGCCUUCGGGUUGUAAAGCCCUUUUGUUGGGAAAGAAAAGCAGCAGUUUAAUACCCCGCUGUUCUGACGGUACCCAAAGAAUAAGCACCGGCUAACUUCGUG